rnacentral:rRNA from 1 species
UACGAGGGGGGCAAGCGUUGUUCGGAAUUAUUGGGCGUAAAGGGCGCGUAGGCGGUGUCGCAAGUCCGUGGUGAAAUCUCUAGGCUCAACUUAGAGACUGCCGCGGAAACUGCGGUGCUUGAGUGUGGGAGAGGUGCGUGGAAUUCCCGGUGUAGCGGUGAAAUGCGUAGAUAUCGGGAAGAACACCCGUGGCUAAGGCGGCUCUCUAGUACGGUACUGACGCUGAGACGCGAAAGCGUGGGGAGCGAACAGG